AGUGAACGCUGGCGGUAGGCCUAACACAUGCCAGUCGAACGGCAGCACAGUAAGAGCUUGCUCUUACGGGUGGCGAGUGGCGGACGGGUGAGGAAUACAUCGGAAUCUACUUUUUCGUGGGGGAUAACGUAGGGAAACUUACGCUAAUACCGCAUACGACCUACGGGUGAAAGCAGGGGAUCUUCGGACCUUUCGCGAUUGAAUGAGCCGAUGUCGGAUUAGCUAGUUGGCGGGGUAAAGGCCCACCAAGGCGACGAUCCGUAGCUGGUCUGAGAGGAUGAUCAGCCACACUGGAACUGAGACACGGUCCAGACUCCUACGGGAGGCAGCAGUGGGGAAUAUUGGACAAUGGGCGCAAGCCUGAUCCAGCCAUACCGCGUGGGUGAAGAAGGCCUUCGGGUUGUAAAGCCCUUUUGUUGGGAAAGAAAAGCAGCAGGUUAAUACCCCGCUGUUCUGACGGUACCCAAAGAAUAAGCACCGGCUAACUUCGUG
rnacentral:rRNA from 1 species